UCUGGUUGAUCCUGCCAGUAGUCAUACGCUCGUCUAAAAGAUUAAGCCAUGCAUGUCUAAGUAAAAACAACUUUACUGUGAAACUGCGAAUGGCUCAUUAUAUCAGUUAUAGUUUACUUGAUAGUACCUUACUACUUGGAUAACCGUAGUAAUUCUAGAGCUAAUACAUGCAUCAACUCCCAACUUCUGGACGGGACGCGUUUAUUAGAUAGAAACCAAUGCUCUUCGGAGGUUUUGUGGUGAUUCAUAAUAACUGUGCGAAUCGCAUGCGUCAGCGGCGAUGAAUCAAUCAAGUUUCUGCCCUAUCAGCUUUCGAUGGUAGGGUAUUGGCCUACCAUGGCGUUAACGGGUGACGGAGAAUUAGGGUUCGAUUCCGGAGAGGGAGCCUGAGAAACGGCUACCACAUCCAAGGAAGGCAGCAGGCGCGUAAAUUACCCAAUCCUGACACAKKGA
rnacentral:rRNA from 1 species